rnacentral:misc_RNA from 1 species
GUUCUCAAUUCGAUUGUAUUUUUUUUUUUUUUUUUUUUUUUUAACCGACUUCCAAAAAAGACCUACGUUGUAUUAUACCGCAUAACUUUCUACUGGAUGUACCAAUUUUGAUAAUUCUUUUUUUGUUGGAAAGGGGAUAUCCCUAGUUUAGUACCGUGAUAAGGAAACCAGGAUCUGAUGAUGGGAUCCCAGAGAAAUCGAGGGAAACUCUCGAAAAUCCGUAAUAACUUUUUACUGGGUGUACCGAUUUUGAUAAUUUUUAAUUUAAUCGAAAGCUGAUGUUUAUCAUGUGGUUACAUAUAAAUUUUAUCGAGAUCUGAUGACUACUUUUUGAGUAAUCUUUGAUAACGCGUAGUUGCUUGACUAUGUUUUCGUCGAUCUACGUUGUAUUACUUGUCGAUGUAAUUGAAGUCGGUUUUUUUUUCGUUUGCGAGCAAACACAAUUAUUUUAUGUAUGUUACAUCAGAACUUUUGACCGGGUAGACCGAUUUCGACAAAUUUUGUUUUAAUCGAAAGGUGGUGUGUGCCAAUCGGUCCCAUUUAAAUUUAUUUGAGAUCUAACAACUGCUUUUCGAGCUAUAUCUAAUAACGCGUUUUUACUUGACGCUUUUUUCGUCGACCUACGUUGUAUUAUACCACAUAACUUUCUACUGGAUGUACCGAUUUCGAUAAUGCUUUUUUGUAUGAAAGAAGAU